UGGGGAAUAUUGGACAAUGGGGGGAACCCUGAUCCAGCCAUGCCGCGUGUGUGAAGAAGGCCUUAUGGUUGUAUAGCACUUUAAGCGAGGAGGAGGGUACUGGUAUUAAUACUACCAGGUACUGGACGUUACUCGCAGAAUAAGCACCGGCUAACUCUGUGCCAGCAGCCGCGGUAAUACAGAGGGUGCGAGCGUUAAUCGGAUUUACUGGGCGUAAAGCGUGCGUAGGCGGCUAAUUGAGUCGGAUGUGAAAUCCCCGAGCUUAACUUGGGAAUUGCAUUCGAUACUGGUUAGCUAGAGUGUGGGAGAGGAUGGUAGAAUUCCAGGUGUAGCGGUGAAAUGCGUAGAGAUCUGGAGGAAUACCGAUGGCGAAGGCAGCCAUCUGGCCUAACACUGACGCUGAGGUACGAAAGCAUGGGGAGCAAACAGG
rnacentral:rRNA from 1 species